ACGGAAACUACCGCACUGAAAUAAGAAAAACUUGGCGGGAAGUUAUGAAACGUGUUAAAAAUAGCUUGAGAUCAGAAGAGGAUAAGUUUUCCCAUUGCAGGAAACGGGAGAUUUGUCUUUCUCUUUAUUAAAAAUAUGUCAAUCUUUAAGCAGUAAAACCAAUGCUUAUAAAAGGAGUCGUUUUUAUUUUCGGACUCAUUAUUCUUUUACAGGAAACAAAAUGAAUAAAUCAGCGAUUCUACUCUUGUUCGUCAUCGGUAUCCUCGUGCUCAAUGAAUCUGUAGAUGCUUUGCAUCAAUGGCGUCGCAUUCCUACCAGUGGUACUCUCAAUCGACUAACUCCUGCUCGCCGUCGUUGGGGAGGUUGGAACCAAAUGGAAAACAUGAACGUUGAAGACAACGGAUUGACGGAUUGGAUGAUUGGAGCAUGAGGAAGAGAAAAUGAUGUAAUCCAGCUCAAUAGAAACCACGUGAUAAAUAAUUGGAGAUUAAAUAAAUUACAAGAUAAAUGA